rnacentral:rRNA from 1 species
UACGGGGGGAGCAAGCGUUGUUCGGAUUUACUGGGCGUAAAGGGCGCGUAGGCGGCCACCGCAAGUCGACUGUGAAAUCUCCGGGCUUAACCCGGAAAGGUCAGCCGAUACUGCGGGGCUAGAGUGCAGAAGGGGCAACUGGAAUUCUCGGUGUAGCGGUGAAAUGCGUAGAUAUCGAGAGGAACACCUGAGGCGAAGGCGGGUUACUGGGCUGAUACUGACGCUGAUGCGCGAAAGCCAGGGGAGCAAACGGG